rnacentral:rRNA from 1 species
GACGAACGCUGGCGGCGUGCUUAACACAUGCAAGUCGAACGGAAAGGCCCUGCUUUUGUGGGGUGCUCGAGUGGCGAACGGGUGAGUAACACGUGAGUAACCUGCCCUUGACUUUGGGAUAACUUCAGGAAACUGGGGCUAAUACCGGAUAGGAGCUCCUGCUGCAUGGUGGGGGUUGGAAAGUUUCGGCGGUUGGGGAUGGACUCGCGGCUAUCAGCUUGUUGGUGGGGGAGUGGCUUACCAAGGCUUUGACGGGUAGCCGGCCUGAGAGGGGGACCGGCCACAUUGGGACUGAGAUACGGCCCAGACUCCUACGGGAGGCAGCAGUGGGGAAUAUUGCACAAUGGGCGGAAGCCUGAUGCAGCAACGCCGCGUGCGGGAUGACGGCCUUCGGGUUGUAAACCGCUUUCGCCUGUGACGAAGCGUGAGUGACGGUAAUGGGUAAAGAAGCACCGGCUAACUACGUG